rnacentral:lncRNA from 13 species
AUGGGGUUUAAACUCUCAUCCAAGAAGUUUCCUAGUCAUUCCACAGCAGCCAACUGGGGGAACAAGAAAUGCCCAACUUCAUGUGCUGGGCUCAAAGCCCUGGAAAGGAGAGGAGGAACUAUAAUCACCUGCAUGGUCAAGCACGUGGGCUCCAACAUGGGGACGUCCCCCAGGGGACACAGUACCCUCAAGCUUAUUAGAGAGAAAACACGUGCUGUCCCUCUAUUGCAAUCACUGCUGUGGUGGCAAAUGGACUCACUGGAGAAGCUGAAUCUGAAAAUGCAAAGCUGCCAGGUGAAGAGACCAGAGGCAGGUGAACGCAAGUCCGAGUCAGUGGGGCAAGGACUCGAAGUGAAGCAUGUCCCGGGAGCUUGCUUCCCUGGCAAAGGAGAUCCCAUCAUGACAUCAUCAGAUAUUAUGAUGAGUUACAACAUGAAGAAACCAACCAUCCAUCAGGCCUCCUAA